AUAAUGGGUCAGCGACUUAUAUUCUGUAGCAAGGUUAACCGAAUAGGGGAGCCGAAGGGAAACCGAGUCUUAACUGGGCGUUAAGUUGCAGGGUAUAGACCCGAAACCCGGUGAUCUAGCCAUGGGCAGGUUGAAGGUUGGGUAACACUAACUGGAGGACCGAACCGACUAAUGUUGAAAAAUUAGCGGAUGACUUGUGGCUGGGGGUGAAAGGCCAAUCAAACCGGGAGAUAGCUGGUUCUCCCCGAAAGCUAUUUAGGUAGCGCCUCGUGAAUUCAUCUCCGGGGGUAGAGCACUGUUUCGGCAAGGGGGUCAUCCCGACUUACCAACCCGAUGCAAACUGCGAAUACCGGAGAAUGUUAUCACGGGAGACACACGGCGGGUGCUAACGUCCGUCGUGAAGAGGGAAACAACCCAGACCGCCAGCUAAGGUCCCAAAGUCAUGGUUAAGUGGGAAACGAUGUGGGAAGGCCCAGACAGCCAGGAUGUUGGCUUAGAAGCAGCCAUCAUUUAAAGAAAGCGUAAUAGCUCACUGGUCGAGUCGGCCUGCGCGGAAGAUGUAACGGGGCUAAACCAUGCACCGAAGCUGCGGCAGCGACGCUGAUGCGUUGUUGGGUAGGGGAGCGUUCUGUAAGCCUGUGAAGGUGUGCUGUGAGGCAUGCUGGAGGUAUCAGAAGUGCGAAUGCUGACAUAAGUAACGAUAAAGCGGGUGAAAAGCCCGCUCGCCGGAAGACCAAGGGUUCCUGUCCAACGUUAAUCGGGGCAGGGUGAGUCGACCCCUAAGGCGAGGCCGAAAGGCGUAGUCGAUGGGAAACAGGUUAAUA
rnacentral:rRNA from 1 species